GGACUACACGGGUUUCUAAUCCUGUUUGCUCCCCUAGCUUUCGUGCAUCAGCGUCAGUUAUGGUCCAGUGAGCCGCUUUCGCCACAGGUGUUCCUUCCGAUAUCUACGCAUUUCACCGCUACACCGGAAAUUCCACUCACCUCUCCCAUACUCAAGCCCGGCAGUUUCUUAUGCAGGCUUCGGGUUGAGCCCGAAGAUUUCACAUAAGACUUGCCAAACCGCCUACGCACCCUUUACGCCCAAUAAAUCCGAACAACGCUUGCCCCCCUCGUAUUACCGCGGCUGCUGGCAC
rnacentral:rRNA from 1 species